rnacentral:lncRNA from 12 species
GUCUGGUUCCAAAACCAGUGAACAAGACAGCUAAGGCAGAGCUGCCGACUGGGCUCCACAUUCCCUCAAGGAGAAGGGCCUCCGGGUAGACAGAAACAGCCUCCAGGUGACUCCCUAGCAUCCCAGAAAAGUCCCCUCCUGAGCCGCUCCUUGACUCAGGAACAUGUCACUGUGUGCUGACCAGGCUGUGGCAAAAGCCUCAGGAAGGGCCCCAAGAUCUGCUAUCAGGCUCCAGCCACCCUUGUGACCCCAGAUGGCGACACUGCGCCUGCCAUUGCUGGGAUUGCAGCAGGCAGGCUGUUUCUGGGCCAGGAAGGAUCUGCGUCUUCUUGUCCUGAACCUACUAGACAGGACACAGCCUCUUCUGCCAUCUACUCAUUAUUGUUAUUCAAAAGCUGGCUUCUGGGGUGGGUCCAGGCUCUGGCUCCUUGGCCUCAGGGAAGGAGAGGCUACGCAUGCACACACUGUCACAUACCAUCACACACACCAUGACACUCACUUCUGUCUCCACCUUGGUUGUGCUAUUGGCGUCCAAGCCCUCCUCUCCAACCUUGUUCUCUCUUUAGGUCGUGUCCUGAAGGAAGGCAGGAGACAAUGGACAUCCAUUUCUGCAUCCCAAGCCAGUAUCCUCCUUCAAGCCUUUGAGGAAGAGAGGUUUCCUGGCAUUGCUACGAGGGAAAGCCUGGCCAGAAGAAUAGGCAUUCCAGAAGCCAGAAUUCAGCCAGGAGGGGAAGGAAGGCCGAUGCAAACGCAGCUGUUCUGGAUGUGGACGAUCGCCUGCCCACGCCUUGCCCACAGCCCAGCACAGAUGUGCCUGCAGACAGCCCACAGGAACACUCUUUGGGAGGCCCCGCCAACGCCAUGCCGGCUCCAGUCCUUGGCUGGGAGACGUCACCCCAAGCAUCAGGUCAGCAGUUCCCCACAGCCUGCUGGGCCCCCUUGUGUAACUGAUAAAGGUGUGGAGAGCUGUGUCCUAUAAUGACAGCAUGUCCUGGGACAGUGGCUGGGAAGGUGGACUGUAGGUGGGCGAGCUACGGACAGUGAGUUCCCGUGAGUGAUCCUCCAGCCCAGCAUGUCUCCCUUGGAGCUACUGUGUUGUCUCCACCCUCUGGUCAGACAUAUGCAGACCUGCCCACAGAUGCAUGUGUCUUCUGAAGGUUUUCAUGCGGUGUCAUCCUUGGAUGUGUUUGGUUUGUAGCACCAGGCAAGAGGACCUGGAGACCCUGCUGGCCUUGGAAAGGGCUGAUAUCAUAGCCGAAUACCAUAAGCUGAAGCCCAGACAAGUACCAUAGGCACUAGAGCACCACUAGAGGUGGGGACCACAUCUGCAAGAGCAGGUGCAGCCCAGGAGGGGCUCAGAGCCAAGCAUGAGCCAGGUGAGCCCACACAAGGACCAUAGUCACCAGGAACAAGUGAGACCCUGGGGAUGGACAUAGGCAUCAGGAGCAAGUGAGGGUCCAUCCUGGAUCCUACUUAUCAGUAGCUGAUGAGCCCAGGAGGGGAUCAUAGUCACCAGGUCCCGAUGAGGCCCAGGUGGUGAGCAUCCUCAGGUAUGUAGGAGCGGGUAUGGCCCAAAUGGUAUCAUAGGCAGCAACAGCAAUUAUGUCCCAGGUGAGGAUCAUAGCAGGGUCCAGCCAAUGACACCCAAAUGGGUGUUGUUACCAGUAGGCGCAGGUAAGGCCAGGUGAGGAUCAUAGUCCUCAAGUGAACCAGAUGUCCAGAUGUUAGCCAACAUGUAGAGGUGGGACCCAAUCAGGUAUCUGAAUCUAAGCUGAGCAGGGAGGUCCCAGGCAGAGAUGAAAAUCAGAGGAGCAGAACAUGAGGAAAAGGCUGUAGGCAUAGAGUCAGGUGAGGCCCAGGUGGGGAUCAGAGCCUAGCAUGAGUCAAGUCAGUCCAGGGAAGGACCAUAGUCACCAGGAACAAGUGAGACUCUGGGAACAGACACAGGCAUCAGUAGCAAGUGAGGGUCAGUCCAGGAU